AACGAACGCUGGCGGCAUGCCUAACACAUGCAAGUCGAACGAGACCUUCGGGUCUAGUGGCGCACGGUUGCGUAACGCGUGGUAACCUGCCCUUAGGUUCGGAAUAACUCCCCGAAAGGCGUGCUAAUAUCGGAUAAUGUCUUCGGACCAAAGAUUUUUCGCCUUUGGAUGGGCCCGCGUUGGAUUAGCUUGUUGGUAGUGUAAAAGCCUACCAAGGCGUCAAUACAUAGCUGGUCUGAGAGAAUGAUCAGCGACAAUGGGACUGAGACACGGACGAGAAUACUACGGAAGGGAGGAAUGGGGAAUAUAGGAAAAGGGGGGGAAGGCUGAACCAGCAAUGGCGGGAAAGUGAUGAAGGCAUGAGGGAAGUAAAGCUCUUUAAACCGGGAUGAUAAUGACAGUACCGGGAGAAUAAGCACCGGCUAACUCCGUG
rnacentral:rRNA from 1 species